CUAGGAAUUGCUCUGGUUUUGGUUACCUGAACACCUCUGACACAGCUGGUUUCUUCCCCCAGAGAAGAGAACACUGUGACAACAAAUACCAUCCCAGAACUCUUCUCUCCUAAUCAUGACCUCAAGCUUGUUUCCACACCACCCCUUCCUGGAUCCUGCUACCUCUCACUGUGAAGGCUGUGGUUUCCCAUCAAGUCUAGUUAAGUAGAGAGUUUCCCAGAGAGAAGGCAUAAAACCAAUAAAGCAAUUAGUGACCAAUUAAGUUCAUUAACACUGUUUACCUACAGGAGAAAGGCAAGCCUUAAAUAAUUAGUGGCGAGUUUAUUUUUUAAGAGUAAAAAAGCCUUUUGAAAACACCUUCUGAGUGACAAUGUUUGUUUAUAGACAGCCAUCAAGUGUAUUGAGAUGUUAUCUUCUAGAAGGUCUUCCCUGUGCGCCCACUGCCCUUCAAGCAAUUCCCUUAAAGACAUCAGGCACAACUAAAGAACCCCCAGACUUGAAAACUCAUUGCAGCAGAUACUUCUUUCAAAAUGUGACCAGCAAAUGCUCUCGUGUAGCAAGAAAUGAAAGUGUCUGAACAUAGGCUUCAUUUUGCUCUAUAGUCAGAAUAUUAUGGACAAAUAUGAUCUCUGCUUCACAUCAGUCCAAUAUCAUAUGUAUUGUGCUUGUGACUUUGAAGAAGUGUAACACAAGUAAUUGAUUUCAUGUCCAUAUAUCUUCAUACAUAGAUGAUAUGCCAACAGUUCAUAUGUGAUACCAGAAUUAUGGAAUCAGUUUGUUCUCAGUACCUUGCUUGGCCUGCAGUUUGCUUAAAUUAUUUCAAAAAUUCAGAUAAUAGUGAAGACUAUUUUUCAUAACUGCUGACCUGAUUUACCUUUUAAAUGCGUAAGAUCUGUAAGAUGCCCAUGUUAAGAGGAUAAAAACAGACUGCAGUUUCAUAGAUGAAGCACAAGAAGCAGUUCUAAAAGUAAGAGAACUAACAUACCAAUCUCUCAGCUCAAGAAUGAAGAGCACAUUUCUAAUACCCUUUUAGGGGAAGCGAAUCACAUAAACAAUUAUCCUAUGUCUAAUAAAAGUGUUUUGACUAAUUUUGACA
rnacentral:lncRNA from 1 species